GAGCAUUGUGUGGCAUUUGUGUAGUGCAAAGGAUUGGCAAAUACAACAGCUUCCCCCUUGACUACUCAGUGGAACGGUUUUUAUCCCGAUCACCAUCAACAUCAAAUCAAAGGUGCAGUGGGGGCAAGGCUGCUCUCAGGUCAGAUCAAACCCGCGGCCAUGGAUGUGGAUGAGGAGGAGAAUAUGAAUCCUGCAACGAAGGCGUUGUAAGUUACUCUUUCUGGGCACCGCAGGUUCGAGCAGCACAGAUGUUAAGGAAAACCGAAACCUG